rnacentral:lncRNA from 1 species
UUACAUUGGCCAACUGGCCAAAUAAAUAUAUAGAACAGCGGAAGCUUGUCUACCCAAUCCACAAGCACACCGACUAGGGGUUUACCCCAUUAAGCUCAAGUCCUAGAAGAAGCAGUCGAAUACCCGCAUUACUCAAAGACUAAAUCUAAAACCUGCAAGCAAAAGGUUAAUUCAAUAGCAAGAGUCAGUACAUUAUUAGAAAUAAUGUACUGGCAAGCACCAAGACAAGCCUAAGACCCUACUUGCAAGGCAUAUAAUCAAGGAAGGCAUAAUAUGGUUCUUUUUAGCAUAAAGCAAGUUUUAUUUGCAUAAAACAUUUCUAAAUCAGGCUUACUUUCAAAUAAAAUUUCAGCAAGCUAGUAUUUGACAUAUUGGGCAUCAAGGUAGGCAUUAAUCAUGUAUAAAUAUUCACCUCAUUGCCAUCCAUGGCAGCAAGGAGAUCAUUCUCAAAUCUCAUCACAAUUUGAAGGUAAAUUUCAUCAUUUAGAAGAAUAAACACAAGUCUAUACUCAAUACAUAUCCACACGCUGCUCAUGACCGCGAGCACGGCUAAUCGAUUAGUUUUAACUCUGCAGAGUUUGUACACUUACCCACAUGAUGCGAAAUAAUAAUCAUGCAAAAGCAUGGCACGCGAUACAUAAGUACCCGAUUUAUUACCCGCAACAAAGCUUUUCCAAAAUUCAUGAUUUAGCCUUACACCAGCACGAUACGUGUUCCUCCAUCCUAGUCAUACUGGAAAUAUGACCUAGAACCGUUAAGUGGCGGGCCCACGCCUUGAACUUAACGCCGUGGUGGCGGACACAACGGGAACCCACCCACGUGGCACAAUACCGUUGUAUUGGACAGACUUAGUCACCUAAACUACCACGUCGGGGUAAAUAGGAAGUUCCUCUGAGUUAUCCGAACUCAUACACACCGGCCUACCAGAAUAUAAGGCUAAACCAUAAAUAAUUUACUAAGCUUGGGCUAUCCCAUACUAGCACAUGUGGUUGUACUGUAUACGAAAUGAACUGACAUUGAGUGAAGUCCUUAGGUCGGUUUGGGCGCACUCUCCCCCUAUCGGUACACAACUAAUCACCAUAUGUGCACCACUUGAGGCCCAAACCUAAAAUCCAUGUUUUCCACCAUUUUAUUUAUCAAAAUCACAAGUAUUAAAGUUCUGUCCAGAUUAAUUAAAAAUCAAUUUUCAUGUUUGAAAUGAGCCCAUAAUGACAAGGAAGACCAUUCUAAGCAUGGCUAAGCUUUAUAGUAACCUAGUGUCACCAAAACUCAUAUAUAAAGUGGUAUAGCCAUAUUGUUCCUAAGGUUAGGAAUGAGGAAUAUGGAUAUAUGUGGAGUUAAGGUGAUAAUGCAAAUAAUAGGAGUUUAUCUAACAAGUUUAACAAAAUUUUAAUUUAUUAGUGUACAAUCGACAUGCAAGAUUUGCAAACAUUUUCAAUAACCUCCAAAAGAUAGGUUCAAAGUGAUCAAAGAGAGGGAGGUGGGACUUGCCUUGAAUCAGGAAAAUGUCAGCACCUAAAUCACUUCUUCACCGAUUAAGCAAUCAUCUAUACAAAGUACACGUUAUGCAAUUAAACACCGAAAUAUGCGAAAAAUCCAAAAUGUUCUAAAAUGCAUGAUUUGUGCACAGAGAAUAGGUACUGGUAUAAAAUGAAUUUAGGUGAAAGAAUUUCUAUUUUAUCUCAUUUUAUUUGGGAGUUAUGAAUUUUAGAAGUUUCGUCGGUAUAGUGUAGGAUUUACUUAGUUACUAUUGUGAAAUGCUGUUGUAAGGUGAUUCUUAUUAAGUUUAUGUUUGCUGGGGUGAAGAUAUUUGUUUUCUAAGACUAACACAUUUGGUUUCAUAAUUUUUAGAGUUAAUAUGAAUUAUUUAUAUAUUUUACAAGUUUUAACGUGUUCUAGGUAUAUAGUCCCUAUGUGUACAUGGCUUUGGAGAUUUAGGUCCAGAACUUGCUCUAACUUGCUAGUGUUGUAUAAAAUGAGUAUUUUAGUUAACUAAUCUAAUCUUAGUUUAUAAAAUUUUAGUGUUCAAAUUACUUUACUUCACAUUUUAUAAGCUAGGGGAUGUUCUAUGUUAGAAACUUAAGAUAUCAAUCUGGAGAUUAUUAUAUGAGUUAAGGAUACUAAGUUUUGGUGGAAGGGGAUGGAUCUAUGCCUUCACUGGUUCAACAAGUUUUAUUUGGAUUUAUUUGGAGCUACCAUGCAUAUAUAUACUUUUUCAUAUGUAUUGUUUAACCACUACUAUGUGUUUAGUACCUAUUCUACCAAAUUAAGGUUCAGAGCCAUGAUCUGUAAGAGGGUGCUAUAAUUCACUCUACUAGGUUGAAGUAUAUUACUUGCUGGUUCUAUAGAAAAUUUGGUUCACUUCAUUUAGACUAUAGAUGAAUUUUCUACAAAUGUUACAAUUUAAGGUAUGCUCCAUGUUGCUUAUUCCUUACUUAAAUACUUAGGGGUUUUCAUUAUACUGUAAGUAUGUCUUUUUAUUUUAUAACAUUGAAGUGCACAACCCUAUGAUUCUACUGAAUUUGGGUUUACUCAAAAAGGAUCUAAGAUGAAUUUUAUAUAAACUUCUAAAGUUCAGCUUAUGUAAAACUAGUCAUUUUAAAGGUAAUAGUUUUAGAGGCAUUCGAUGUAUAGUAUGUAUACUAUUUCAUUUUUCUUUAUAGGAGAACAUAAGUUGGUGGAUCCGUAGAAACUGAGUUUGUUCCAAAAUGAGUUGAAAUGAAUUUUGUAUGCAUUUUAUAAGUUUGUGCAUGCUUUAUGUGUGAUUUAACUUGGAUAAAUUUUAGAGGCUAAAUUUGUACUGUGAGUGCAAGUUUUUAUUCCAUAACACUAAAGUUCACAAUUUGGUGAGUUCACAGAAAUUUGUAUCAUCUUAAAAUGAGCUAUAUUUAAUUUUAUAUGGAUUUUACAAGUUUUAGGUACUUUCCUUUUAUAAUUUCAGAUUUUUGUUUCCAAGGGGUCCACUGCCAGUGAAAGAUCAAUAUACAAAAAGAUCCCUGAGGUUUCUAAGAAUCAACCCGCAGACCUAGCCUCAUAUGUCAGUGAGUUGAAAAGUUGCACAUUAAACCUUAUAGUUGUUUAAAUUCUCACGCACAGAGGCAGAACAGCCAUGGCUGAGCUCGAUCUCGAGCUCACCGGCGACAAACGAUGGCUCGUUUGGGGGUGCAACCAAAAUACAAAAUGAAGAUCAUGUUAUUUCGAUUCCAUUCCUCUACUUUUCUCGGUCAGUGGACAUCGGAGUAACGCCGGCGGCGAGUCCGAAAGGAGGAUGUUUUCGGGUGGUGAUGCAUGUACUUCUACAAUCAUGUAUUGGUUAAUUGGGUGCAUGCAUGUAUGUUCUAUAGGCUGAAGGGUGCUCACCAAGAUGGUAGACAUGGCUGGGGUAGCUAGGUUUAUGACGGCGGCUCGUGUAACGGCUCGGCGGCGGCAAGAACCUCCGAAUGAACGGCGAUGGCUCAAUCAGCUCCAAGAACUAUCAUGCAUGUGUGUCCAUGAGGUUAGAGAGGCCCCAGAGAUGCUACUGAUGCAUGGAAUUGGGUUGGUACUCACCGGAGGGGGUGGAUUCGGCAACGGCGAUGGUGACCAGAGGUGGAGAAGACGGUGGACGAUCUCCACACUCGUAGCACCAUCCUUCGAGAUUCUUGAGGG